UCAGGGGUAGGGGAGCGUUGUAUGUAGGUUGAAGGUGUACCGUAAGGAGCGCUGGACAGCAUACAAGUGAGAAUGCCGGUAUGAGUAACGAAAAGAUCAGUGAGAAUCUGAUCCGCCGAAAGCCCAAGGUUUCCUGAGGAAGGCUCGUCCGCUCAGGGUAAGUCGGGACCUAAGGUGAGGCCGAAAGGCGUAAUCGAAGGACAACAGGUUGAAAUUCCUGUACCACCGUAAACCGUUAUGAACGAUGGGGUGACGCAGGAGGGUAGUGACGCGGACUGAUGGAUGUCCGUCCAAGCAGUGAGGCUGAUGUGUAGGCAAAUCCGCACAUCGAUAAGGCUGGGCUGUGAUGGGGAGUGAAAAUUACAGUAGCGAAGGUCAUGAUCUCACACUGCCAAGAAAAGCCUCUAGUCAGGUGAAGGUGCCCGUACCGCAAACCGACACAGGUAGGCGAGAAGAGAAUUCUAAGGCGCGCGGAAGAACUCUCGUUAAGGAACUCGGCAAAAUGACCCCGUAACUUCGGGAGAAGGGGUGCCUCGGUAGGGUGAAUAGCCCGAGGGGGCCGCAGUGAAAAGGCCCAAGCGACUGUUUAGCAAAAACACAGGUCUGUGCGAAGCCGUAAGGCGAAGUAUACGGGCUGACGCCUGCCCGGUGCUGGAAGGUUAAGGGGAGCGGUUAGGAGCAAUCCGAAGCUGUGAACCGAAGCCCCAGUAAACGGCGGCCGUAACUAUAACGGUCCUAAGGUAGCGAAAUUCCUUGUCAGGUAAAUUCUGACCCGCACGAAUGGCGUAACGACUUGGGCGCUGUCUCAACGAGAGAUCCGGUGAAAUUUUAAUACCUGUGAAGAUGCAGGUUACCCGCGACAAGACGGAAAGACCCCAUGGAGCUUUACUGCAGCUUGAUAUUGGAUUUGGGUACGAUCUGUACAGGAUAGGUGGGAGCCUU
rnacentral:rRNA from 1 species